ACUCAAAGGAAUAGACGGGGACCCGCACAAGCGGUGGAUUAUGUGGAUUAAUUCGAUGCAACGCGAAAAACCUUACCUACCCUUGACAUGUCAGAAAGUUUUCAGAGAUGAAAGUGUGCUCGAAAGAGAAUCUGAACACAGGUGCUGCAUGGCUGUCGUCAGCUCGUGUCGUGAGAUGUUGGGUUAAGUCCCGCAACGAGCGCAACCCUUGUCAUUAAUUGCCAUCAUUCAGUUGGGCACUUUAAUGAGACUGCCGGUGAUAAACCGGAGGAAGGUGGGGAUGACGUCAAGUCCUCAUGGCCCUUAUGGGUAGGGCUUCACACGUAAUACAAUGGCGCGUACAGAGGGUUGCCAACUCGCGAGAGGGAGCUAAUCUCAGAAAGCGCGUCGUAGUCCGGAUCGGAGUCUGCAACUCGACUCCGUGAAGUCGGAAUCGCUAGUAAUCGCGGAUCAGCAUGUCGCGGUGAAUACGUUCCCGGGUCUUGUACACACCGCCCGU
rnacentral:rRNA from 1 species